UACGUAGGGACCGAGCGUUGUCCGGAAUCAUUGGGCGUAAAGAGCGUGUAGGCGGCCUUUUAAGUCCUGCGUGAAAUCCUGCGGCUCAACCGCAGACGGUCGUGGGAAACUGGAAGGCUAGAGUGCGGGAGAGGAGAGUGGAAUUCCCGGUGUAGCGGUGAAAUGCGCAGAUAUCGGGAAGAACACCCGUGGCGAAGGCGGCUCUCUGGAACGCAACUGACGCUGAGACGCGAAAGCGUGGGGGGCAAACAGG
rnacentral:rRNA from 1 species